CCCUGCCCUCACUCCGGACUGGCCGCAGUCUUCCCUUGCAAUUGCUUGAAAAAUAAACUGUCUCUGACUUGUUGCUUACUAAACACAGAGUGAAGACUUUGUUUUCUUCCACAGUUACCAAGAAGGGAGAUGCUUUGAUAAGUGAGUCGUCUUGACCGCAGACCCAGACUUGUGCAGACUUUUCCAACACAACACAGAAUCAUGAAAAUAUAGGGCAAGAAGACAUUUGAAGUGGUCAUCCAGUCCGCUCCCCUGCACUGAGAUGGAAAUAUAAACCCUGGGCAAACAGAUGGCUGAGGACUUCUCUGACAGAUUAAAUGCUCUGAGUAAUUUACCUCCUCAGUCAUCUAGUGCCAAGCCAGCAGCUGCUACUUUCUGACCGCCCAGCUCUUAAGGAUGUGCCAUCACCAGCAUCAGCACAGAAGUAUGGUAUGUCACUCUUACCCAUCCAUUGUUUUUGAUGGCAGUACUACCUUCAAAGAUAUCCCAACAGAAAGCAGUGAUGUUGAGCUUCCUUUCCUUUCUGUCCCAAUUGAGAUUUUAAACUCUGACAUGUAGGUCAUAAUGAACCAUAGCAACAACAGAUCAUUAAUCUUACUUAACAGUGGAUAUUCUUUCAAAACAUGUAUCAAACCUGUGCCAAAUUUAAUGACUUGUGGUGUACUUUCUUCGAGUGUGCUGUCAAAAGUGAGUUGCAGCAGCUUUUUCUUCUUCGGGCAUCAAGUUUAGCUCCAUUAUUGAUUCAGGAUUUUUGAAAGCUAAAGGAUCUUUCACCCAAAGCUUUUCCUUCAAAUUUUAAAACUGAUCUGUAGCAACUAAAAGGGUCAGGCAAAGCAGCAAGAUGUAACUUUGUGACACCUCCCAUUUCAUUCACUUUUUCUUCACUGAUGCUUUUCCCCUCAAUGUGUCAGAACAGUGUUGGGAAAACGUAGCUUGGAUGAUUACUUUUCAGUUGUGCUUACACAGCGCUAAUGAGUUUUGGAAUGCUUGUAUCUGUUCACUGUGUCGAAACAAAUCAGUGUCUCUUCUUUGUAACUUCAAAUUCAGUUUGUUUAAAAUUGAGAAAAUGUCACCUAGAUAUGACAAAUUUAUUAACCAUCAUCUUCAAACAAAUUUUCCAAAUUAGACUGUUUCUUGCCAGAAAAAUGUGAAUCUCAUUCCUGAAUUCAUACACCCUAGUAAGAAUCCUGCUCCAUUACAAUCACAGUACUUCACUGUGGAAUGAUUAUGCUCCACUUCAAAAAGCAUGCUGUUCAAUGAGCUUCCUUUAAUGAUAUUAAUAAUUUUUAUUCCUUCCUUCAGUUCUGUCAUAAGAUCAGGGUAAAUGAUUUCACAUCCAAGAGUUUCAUGGUGAGUGAAACAGUGAUUCCAAACAACAUAAUUACUGGUAGCCUGAGAUAUUUUUUCACACCUCCGCUAUUUCUACCUCUCAUAUUUGCUACACCAACACCUACAAUUCCUUUGUAAUUAGAUCAGUCUAAUUUGUGUUUUCCAAUACACAGUGCUUAAAUUAUCUGUGCUCCUGUUGUAUUUAUUUGUUAACUCAAACAGCCAUAAAUAUCCUACAUAACUUAACAGUGUUGCAUAAUUUGAACUGUCAGUACUCUUGUCAAAUUGAUAGCAAAAUCCCCAACUGACUGUAACCACAUAAAAGCUAGUCUUCCAAACGCUCUGUAAUGUCAUAUAUUCACCAAGAUAUUGUGUUAUACAGAGGGAUUUUUACACACACACACACAAAGGUAAACUGAAGGAAGUAAUGAAAAGUAUUAAUUUUGUUAAAGGUAAACAAGCCUUAUCCUAAAAAAGAUGAUUGCUU